rnacentral:lncRNA from 1 species
AUUGAAUAUUUGUAAGAAAUUAGAAGUGUGAAUAUUAAACACUCAUUACUUGUCAUCGCGCCUUCAUCCUAUAGGAGAAUGGUCUCAAACCAGAAUGGUGGAGAAGAGUCUUCUUCUCCCGGUUGAUCUUGUUAGCCUUCGCCUUCUUCUGUUAACAUAAAAUAAACGUAUUAGUGUAAUAUUUAAAGAAAAUGAAACAAACACAUAACUUAAAGUAGG